AUUGAACGCUGGCGGCAUGCCUUACACAUGCAAGUCGAACGGUAACGGGCCUUCGGGUGCCGACGAGUGGCGAACGGGUGAGUAAUGCAUCGGAACGUACCUUUCAGUGGGGGAUAACGUAGCGAAAGUUACGCUAAUACCGCAUAUUCUGUGCGCAGGAAAGCAGGGGAUCGCAAGACCUUGCGCUGAUUGAGCGGCCGAUGUCAGAUUAGCUAGUUGGUGAGGUAAAGGCUCACCAAGGCGACGAUCUGUAGCGGGUCUGAGAGGAUGAUCCGCCACACUGGAACUGAGACACGGUCCAGACUCCUACGGGAGGCAGCAGUGGGGAAUUUUGGACAAAUGGGGGGCAACCCUGAUCCAGCCAUGCCGCGUGAGUGAAGAA
rnacentral:rRNA from 1 species